GCCUGAGGGCCGGGGCAGCGGAGGCGCCGAAAGCCGGGACUUUUCACCCAAAACAGAAGCAGCGCGGGGCAGCAGAGCGCUGCUAGGUGGCUCCGGUCACACCCCAGCCGUGGCAUUCGGAAGGGAUGCCACGGAGCUCAGGGAGCAUUUGCCGUUGCCUUGUCCUUGCCCCGGAGGCGAGGGAAGUCUCGCCCCAGGGGAGCAGCUGUGACGCACGCCCGGAUUUAUGUUCGCAGGGAAUAUCCGUGGGGAAACGCAAGCUGUAAAUGUCUAAUUCUUCGGCUUAGUAACUGAAGUUUUUAAGACACAUACCAGAAAAUGGGGAGGGAUUGAGGUCUCCCAGCUGAAUGUCCUGGAUAUGGAGCUAUGUGCUCAUUGACCUUCAAAGCAAAUCGUUAAUUGUACUGAGGAACUACCAUCAGGCACUGCCAUGAGUAUCUGAGAUAGAAACUGAGGAAAUGACAUGUCUUUGAGUGAUCUGGACUGUUUCCAGAUAAAUUCUUCCACCGUGUGCUAUGAAGAAGAAAAUGCUGUAAGGCCUAAAGGCCUAGAGACCAUUUUCAAUUACCUUGCAGCAACAGUGA